AUUCUGAAAAUCCAAUAGGAUUCAUCUAAAAUCCAAUAGGAUUUGUGUUUUUACCCAUAAGAUUCUAUAGGUCUAAGAAAAUCCUAUAGGAUUUAUAUACAUUCCAAUAGGAUUUUCAUUGUGUCCUAUAAGAUUAGAAAAUCCUAUAGGAUUUACAAGAUUCCAGAGACAGCUGCGAGCGCAGCUAAGUUUGAAAUGAUUUUGGUUGUCAAGGGAAACAAACAAAGUUUCUGGACGUCGCAGUCGCAUAUCCAACCGUUUUCAGGUAGACUAGAAAUGUAACUCGGGCUUGAUUUUAAAAAAUGAACUAAAACGUUUAAUUAACUUGCCGCAAUGUUUGCCUGUAAUACUGUCACUUGAAGGACCUCUUCAACGCGUUUACUAAUCGAUAUCCGACUUCUGAAGUGCCGUCGUAACUUUACCGUUAGCAAGUUUGCUAACGUGUGAAACGUACCCAGCAAGCAGGUCUAUUUUCUGCAGUAACGUCCUCAAGUUUCCUGCUGGAGUUGGGGCUGUCAAACCAUUCAAGUGGCCCACAUGAUGACUGACUGAAAGGACAUUACGUGAAUUCACUACAAGUCAAAAUCAGAUAAACAGACAGGAACAUCAGCCUUCUUGGUGCCAGAUGGGAAUACUUGAGAAUAGCAAGAAAAACGGUUCAAGUAGGCCCGACAACAGAGAUCACAGACAACCACAAGAAGUGACCCCAGGAGGGCAACAGACCUUAUGUUGGCAGUUUUUGGAAGGCAGGUCCUAGCCACGCACUCAUAUACCGGAAAACCACCAGUAGAAUUCAACAAAAAACCUCUGACAUAAACUACGUCACAAACAAAUUUGAUGUGGACACUUCAAUGAUCAAGCAAGCAAUGGCAAAGGACUGUUCAGAUGAGGCAAAAAUGACACCCACACAAUGAUCAAAUAAUGAAAUAAUAAAUAUAUUUUGGAUAUGACUAUUUCA